ACUCACACAUAUAUAUACACACAUACAAGGUUUCUUUGUGUGGCUCGUACAUUGGCCUGGUGUCGAGUCGAUGAGGCUGUCGCUUAUCGAUUAAUCACCAAAUUAAAAAUUACUAAGCCCAAAGCGUGGAGCGUGGCCGAAGACAACGUGAUCCCCCCGCUCCUACACUCUCCCGGAUGCCCAGAGCACCCAUCGCACUGCUCUUUAUCGUCUCCCUCUUAUUAUUAUUUUUUAUUUUUUUGGCAGCCCAAUUUAAACAAUAACUUGGAUUCCAUAGUAAAAACCGCACUAAUUUCGAUUCGCAUUUAGCCUUAUUUCGCAGUUUGAAUUGGCUAUUGUUUCUGCAGAAAUUCCUAGUUUCCCUUUGUUUCAAAUGUCAACACUCAUCUAGUAUUAUUUACGAUAAUGGCGAUGAAAUUCCAAGGAAAUAGCAAACAAACUAAUUGAACCAUGUGUUACAUCAGGCCCAACGCCCAGCGCGAUAGGAUGUAUAGUAUAUACAUUUAUAUAAAUAUAUAACAAAAGUCGUAAAUUCAUUUAGCAUGAGCAAAGGGAAAUCGAAUAUAUGCAAAUAUUGUGGAACAAAUAAAGAAUAUUUCCCCUCCUCCCAACAAAAACUAAUGCUCAUAAAUAACACUUUGAAGCGCCGCCUGGCGGCCAAUUAAGGCACACUGCAAGCGGGUACAAAGUUCAAUUUGAUAUCAAUCGGCGUUCGGCAUUUUCAUUGGGCAAAUUAAUUUAAUGCUCAGUAAGAGAUUUUCCAAUGCUUAUCACAAAUUUGUCAUCAGCUCGUUGUAAUGCGAUCACACACGCACACACACUUAGAAGCCAGAAAACACACACGUAUGGGAAGUUUAAGCUGGAGUUGGAGAGCACACAUGCGGCUGCCGCUACUCAUAAUGAAGUUGAGCGUGGCUUGCAGAUAAUGAUCGAACAGACCACGCGACGCGACGCCAAGACACACACGCACACAGAUACAGAGGCACACAGGAAAGAAUUGCAAGCGCCGACCACUCGCUCUCCCUCUUUCGGACGCUCGCUCAGCUCAGCCGAUUCGGCUGCGCUCCAGCUGCUUGUCAAACAAGUUGCGUGCGAAGUCGGCUGCGCAGACGUAUCGUAUCGGCCGGCGCAGUCACUUUACUUUUGGCGCUCGUCGCGUACACAACGUUAAGCGGGCACACUCAGUAGGCGGCAGACAACGUAGGUGUAAACUUGACUUUGACUCUCACGCUCUCCCACACCGUAAAGUGCGAUCGUAUGUGUGCGUGUGUGUGUGUGCAGUUCAUUCGAAUGCUCGCUCGUUCACUUGCAAAGGCUGACCGUGAAGUUUGUUCUUUUUGCAUGUUUAUAAGCUGAGUAACUGUAACUGUGCUUUGUUGUUUGUGCUUUGACUUGUAUUUAUUUAUUUUUUUUUGCUUUGCGCUUUGUUAUUGCCGCUCUGCACUCUCCGCCAAGUUCAUUCACGUUCAUUCACGUUUCAUCACCGCUGGCCGUCUAAUUAAAUCUUUGCUGUGCAUUCGAGCGCAACAGUUAAUUGCAUUCAUUUAUUGUUGAUGCAAAUAAUUUAAAACAUUUGAAAUUAACUCUUGAUGAUUGCCUUUGAAGAAAGUGAAAUCUCUUUCUCUCUCGCUACGAAAAAAAACAAAAUCAAAAACACAAAUGGCUAAUACUAUAAUUAUGUUAAUUUUAAUAACAGUUAAGUGUUAACACAGUUUAUUCGG